rnacentral:lncRNA from 1 species
UGAAUCAAGAAAAUACAAUUCAUUGAGAGACAGUAAAAAUAUUGAUGCAGGGAGUCACACCCUGCAUCUAUGGCAUGUGCGGUACAGUAGAAUGGACGCGACAAAUUAAGUCACGUGUCUGUAUCUGUUCCUUAAUCAUGUCUAAUCCUGCUCUCUCGAACAUGUACCAAACAUGGUCUUGCAGAGGAAAAAAAGAAGAAGCUAUACUUACCAUAUAGUGCAUCACCCUUCUCAAUAUGAUCAAACUCUGCCGGGGGCAUUGUAAUGGUAUGUAAUUUCACUCUUCCUCCUCGUAUGUUCUGUUAUUCAUCAAGACGAAUACAAAAUCAUAUUUACAUGCAUCCAAGUCAAUAGAAAAUAAGCUCACUUUCUCACGAAGUGUUUCAUUUCAACUGUAUGAUGUUUAUUGCUCGACUGAUUACCUGGUACUGCAUUAGUUUCUCGGCGUGUUCUCUUUCCUCUUCACUGGACUCCUUAAAGAAUCUGACAAUAAACCAUAGCACAUUUGAUUAAGACGGGAAAAGGGGGGAAAACAGAGAGUAACUGAAAUUCAAUAAAGCAUUAGAGACUGUUUUAGUUACUUGGCAAGGCCUUUAAGAGCAACAUUGUCCCUGUCAAAGUACGCGUACAUGGAGUGAUACACAUACGACACAUUAUACUCCACACUGAAACGAGAAGAGAAGAUCAAUUUGUUAGUAGAAGUAAUAGAUGAACUUAUUUGUUAGAAAGAUGUAUAAAAAAUAUUAUAAGAACAUAAAGCGUUUAUCUAAGUGUGAAUAAUUUUUCUGUUAUAGUUUUGUUUUAAUAGUGUAGAGAAAUGAAUGAGUGGAAUUGUUUGAAAGUACCAAGAAUUUUCAGACAUGAAAACCAAGAAAAAGAAAAGAUUCUGACACUUACAAAGCCAAAUUCAGCCCUGAUUGCCCUUAUUUUGAAAAUACAUUAAUUUUCAACUACACGUUCUUCAAUAAAAUAAUAUUAUAUGCAAAUUCAAAAAAAAUUUCCAUAUUUUUUAACCACACAUUCUUUGUCAAAUCACUAUUCCAAAAUGCAGUCUUCUCUAAAAAUGGAGCUCAAACAAGAUCUGGUUCAUUUUUUUUAUGAGAAAGGUGGCAUAUGUACAAUUUUCAUAAUCGAGUGUAUGGAGAUUUGAGUCUAGAUCAUUUGUAUGCUUUGAUACUAUGAACCUGUUUGGUGGCGAUUCUUUUGGAAAAACAUUGUUUUGACCAGUGAAUUUUUUAAAAAUGUGUAGUUAAAAAAUAAGUAAAGUUUAAGUUUAAACAUACAAAAUAUGGUUGAAAAUGAGCUUUUAAAAAAAGUAAUUUUGAAAGAAUGAAAGACAAGGGCUAAGUUGAAUCAGCUCAUCUAAAUGAUUAAAUUAUUAAAAAGCAACAACAACAAGCAAAGCAUUGUUGCUAAUAAACUUGAGAUCGAUUACAUGAACUCUUUUUUCCAUUUGUUCAGUUCAUCACUAGAAGAUCCAAAAUAACUAGAUCCUUGUAAAAAACACGAAGUGAAGAAGAAGGUUUGAAAACUCACUUGAUUUGUUCAUUAAUUGCAGCCUCACACUCUUCCGAAAACCUCUGGCGGGCAAGUGAAAGCUGAGGAGCUAUUGGGACCAUGAGAUCACCUUUCUUAACCUCUUCAAAUGGCUGAAACAC